CGCAGGCGCGCUUAAUUCGACCUCUUCCCACAGCUAGCAGCUGGCACACGUGGAACAGCCGCCUUCGACUGUUGCAGUUUGCAUACAUUUUUGCGUUCAACUGCACAGUGGAAGUUCACAAAAAGGCUCAUGGCCCCUGCUUUUAUAAGCCUAUUUAUUAAGGUGAAAUGCCAGUCCACGAGAGGUUAUAGCGGGCAGGAGCUGUCUCUAUUCUCUACACUUCUUUCUUGAGGUGACGGCCAAAGAUGUCCCUGAGCAGGAGGGAUUUUCUUCUCUACAUCUGUGAUUGGAGAUGGUGGCUGAAGACGACUCCGAGCAGGAGGGAUUUUCUUCUACAUCUGUGAUUGGAGAUGGUGGCUGAAGAUGACUGAGCUGGAACGAUGGUGGCAGAAGACGACUCCGAACACAUCUGAGAUUGGAGAUGGUGGCUGAAGACGACUCCGAGCAGGAGGGAUUUUCUUCUACAUCUGUGAUUGGAGAUGGUGGUUGAAGAUGACUGAGCUGGAACGAUGGUGGCAGAAGGUAAUUCAUAACAUGAGUAUUACUCGUCUACGCAUUUGCUAUGCAAUAUGUGUGUGUGUGGUAUUUAAAGUUGUGUUGUGACCACAGCUACAAACCUUAAGUAAAUCUCUUGUGCCAGAAAAAAAUGUCUUUAAUGCAGUCUUUACAAUGAUGACUCACAUAUUUGCCGUUUACCCAUCUGACCAAAAUCUGGGAUGGUG